rnacentral:rRNA from 1 species
GACGAACGCUGGCGGCGUGCUUAACACAUGCAAGUCGAACGGAAAGGCCCUGCUUUUGUGGGGUGCUCGAGUGGCGAACGGGUGAGUAACACGUGAGUAACCUGCCCUUGACUUUGGGAUAACUUCAGGAAACUGGGGCUAAUACCGGAUAGGAGCUCCUGCUGCAUGGUGGGGGUUGGAAAGUUUCGGCGGUUGGGGAUGGACUCGCGGCUUAUCAGCUUGUUGGUGGGGUAGUGGCUUACCAAGGCUUUGACGGGUAGCCGGCCUGAGAGGGUGACCGGCCACAUUGGGACUGAGAUACGGCCCAGACUCCUACGGGAGGCAGCAGUGGGGAAUAUUGCACAAUGGGCUGAAGCCUGAUGCAGCCACGCCGCGUGCGGGAUGACGGCCUUCGGGUUGUAAACCGCUUUCGCCUGUGACGAAGCGUGAGUGACGGUAAUGGGUAAAGAAGCACCGGCUAACUACGUG